GUGAUUUGUAAAUGGCAUCACUAUCGCAAUUCUAAAACAAUUCUAUUCCUUCUAUUUUUUAACCAAUGUCAAUAAAAUAAACUGCAGGACAGGAAACUGCACCAAAAUAUUUACUGCAGCACACCGAGCAGCCCAAGAAGCGAUGUGUUACAGUAAUUGGGGAGCAGGAAGCGUCUUAAUAAAAGGCCAGAGCUAAGGAAGACGUGGGGUGGUGUGGAAAUUUCCCACAAGUGAUGAUGAACACCAGAAUCACAGCUCGCAGGGUGACCUCAUCCUCCCACUGCCCUCUAACAGCUCAGAGAAUUCUGUUCCUUUAAGCAUCAUGUGGUGACUUUUCCAGACUCGGCACUGAGCUCGGAUCCCCCUCCUCGGAGGCGUUACAUGGGUGUGAGGGUGAAGAUGCCGGUGCGGGAGCUGCUGAGGAAGGUCCGGCUUUCCAGGGGGCUGCAGCCAGCUGCCAGCCAGGAAGCCUCGUUAGUGAAGACGGCAAGCAAAGGAUCCUCAGGAAAAACAG